ACUACAGUCAGACCUCUUUAUUCAUCGGUUCUACAUUCAUGGAAUCAACCAACCACAAGCCAAAAGAAUUUUUUAAUUGUAUGUUUACUAAACAUGUACAGAUUUUUUUCUUAUCAUUAUUCCCUAUAAAAUACAGUAUAACAACUAUUUCACAGCAUUUACUCUCUAUUAGAUAUUGUAAGUAAUCCUGAGAUGAUUUAAAGUAUACAUGAAGAUGUACAUAGUUUAUAUGCACAUACUAUGCCAUUUUAUUUGAAGGACUUGAGCAUUUGUGGAUUUUGGUAUCUGUGGGAAGUCCUGGAUCUAUUCAUCCAUGGAUAGUCAGAGACAACUGUAUAUAUGAGCAAUUUCAACAACUCAAUAAUAAGAAAAAACACCCAAUUUAAAAAUUGGCAAAAGACUUACAUAGGCACUUCACUGAGGAAGAAAUACAAAUGACUAAUGAACACAUUAAAGAUAUUCAAUACCAUUUGUUUCCUGGUAAAUGCCAAUUAAAGUCACAAUGAAAUGCCAUUACAUACCCACUAGCAUGGCUAAAAUUAAAAAAUAAAAAAGACUGACAACACGAAAUGUUGGCAAGAAUGUGGAACAACUGGAAAUCUCACACAUUACUGAAAUAUAAAUUGGUAAAGUUAGUUUGAAAAUUGGUUUUGAAAUGUUUUAUAAAAUUCAAGCUGUGCUGACUUUAUAACCCACAAAAUUCACCCCUAGUUAUUUACUAAAGAGAAAUGAAAAAUAUAUGUUAACAAAAAAGUACGCAAGAAUGUUCAGUCACUUUAUUCAUAGUAGCCAAAAACUAAAAUUAAUCAAAUGUUCAUCAACCGUGGAUGGAUAAAUUGUGCUUUAUACAAUGAAAUAGUAUUAGUAGUAAACAGACAAAUAAAAAACCUGCUCAUACACAGUAACAGCAUGGAAGAAUCUUAAAAAUAUUAUGCUGCAAAAGAAAACAGGCACAAAGGAGUAUAUCUUGUAUGAUUUUACUUGUAUAAAGUUCUAGAGCAAGAUAUCUAAGCAAUGGAAUCAUGAGUGGUUGCUUGAGGUAAAGGCAGUGACAAGGAUUAACCUAAGAAGAAUUUCUAGGAUGCUAAGAAUGUUUUAUAUCUUGAUAGAUUAUGGAUUAUUUGGAUGUAUGCAAAUAUUCAAACUACAAAUUUUGCAUUUAAAAUGUAUGCAUUUCACUGCAUAUUAGUUAUUCCUCUAUUAAAAUAUUUCUUUUUUAUUGCUAAAAAUAUGCUAUUAAAAUCACUAAAUGCAAUUAAUUACCUUUACCAUGCGCUAAAUAAAACACGAAUCCCAGUUAGCAAACUUUUAAAGAAAAUAAUGCAGUUUUUUUUUCACUUUUUAUCAUUGCCUUGGUUAGCAAUUUAUUUUAAUAAACCUCAGCAAAUUUUCAUUAAGCCAUUAUGUUGUUUUAAUGAGCUUAUACUUUGUACAUUUUAGCUGUGUGAGAAAAUCAAACUCUGACAGGUCCAGGUAUAUAAGCCAGCAAUACCAGGCUUCAAAGAAGCCCCAAGAUGCAAGAGAUAUCACAUACUUCUGCUAAACAUCAGAAAUUCUUCUUCAUUAGUAUUUCCAGUUCUCAACUCCCAUACCCUUUCUUCCCAAUUGGUAGAAAAUGACAGAACAGAUUAGGAUCACUCAGUGGCCCUCUGCAUAAAAAGCCAACAAAGUAAACUUCCCCCAGGUGGAGAUUUCCCUGAGGUUUUGCUGUGUAUUUUUUUGUUUGAUUUCUUGUUUUUUGUUUGUUUGUUUUUUGUUGUUGUUGUUGCUGUUGUUGUUUUUAGUGCCUAGGCUACCAUAGCCUCAGAUCUGAUUUCUUAGGAAGCUUCUGAAAUAAACUAAAGCUGAAGUGCAACAACACUUUUUAUCUACUGCCCUGCAGAGUGAAUUUAACAACCUGCAACUCUUAACAGCUUGCUUUCUGAUGCAGCCACUUUCUGAAACAGCUUGUGUCUCUUAUCACAGGUGUUACCUUUGAACAACAGUUUCAAACUAAAACUGAAUUAGAUUUUAAAAACAGAUAAAAGUGGCUUUAUAGUAAAAAUUUUUGUUAUAUUUUUUAUCUAAAAAAUACAACUUUUUCUUGAUUGCUUUAAUCUUGAGAAUUAAAAACAUCAUAUUCUCUUUUUUUUCCAUAGCACAUAAUCUAGGACAUCUCCACAAUCUUUUAAAAUUCCAUUUUUCAAAAAUAUAGACUUUAAAUUCAGGGCUGAUACGAUGUCUUGCCCAGGGAAGACUGGAAAUGGAAUAUUUUCACUUUUCAGCCUCAAUAGUGGAAGUAGGUGAGAAAUUUAAAUGGCUUACAGGCAGCCAGAGGCCUACAUCUGCCCAUAAACUUUGACAUUUAGAUGACUUGAUGAGGAGACAAAUAAUACAUCACAACUUAUUAUCUAGAAAUAAAAAUAUUCUUUACAAAUAGGGAGAAUAUUAGCCUUUUCUAAUGCAGUAUUUCAUAAAUGUUUUAACCCGUUUACAAUAAAAGAAAAAAAAGAACUAUGUAAACUGUUUAAAUUAGGGAAAAAAACGUGGAGUGUUUGCGCAAUGCCUUAACAUACUGUCCAUAAAACGUUGUUCUUCAGAAAGUACAGUUGAUCUCUCAAUAACACAGGACAGAUGUUGGUCAGAUGCUAGAUAUAUCCAGACUUGACCCCAAAUGUGACAUGUUACUGUGGUUAAGCUUGAAUUACUACUCUUUAUGCUUUAUUUAACCAAAAUGUGUAAAUUUGCAAGAAACGGUAGUCUGUACUCUCAAAAAUGCAUGAAUGGAAAACCCUAGGACUGUCUGGGUGGCAUAAGACCACAAGCAUUUAGGGGCUGAUAAGUUUCUCCAGGAAGAAGUAGUUGCAAAUAAGGGUCACAAUUACAAUUGGAUUAUAAUGUGAUUAAAUUCAUAAUAAUUAUUUUUAAGUUGAUUCUUGGUCAAAGUCCAGGACUUUUGUGAAUGUAAAUUCCUCUCUUUGCUUACCACCUUUUAGAGCAUACAUAUAGAUCAACAUGUUGAUAAUUCAGUGACUCUUUUCCAUAAUUAUUUGUCUUACUUGGUGAAUGUGAAAUUUUAAACUGAUUUAUGAGAUAAUGUCAAUACUUAAUUUUCAAGAUGUUAAAUUCAUUGUCUAAAGUUAUAUUGUCUUCAUUUUCUUGUCUAUGAAGUAUAGAUUCUACUUGCACUUUUUCUUAGUAUAAACUUAUUUACACAAAUAUCUAGAAGAGAUAAA
rnacentral:lncRNA from 10 species